CAGAGAUAAUACAUAAACAUAGUAGACUGUUCAUGACACAUAUCACGGUGGACAGUGUUUGUGUCCUUAUUACAAGCAACGAGAGAUGCUCGUCACCACACACGCGCGCGCGCAGAUGCACGACAUACAUAUAGUAGAGACCAACAGAUGGUCGUCCCAUAUGGUGAACAAUUUAUUGGAGAUAAAUAUUAACGUAACUUGGCCAUAGCUUGAAGCAUAGCAACAUAUGCCUAUGAGUGGCAUUCAUGCUAUCAUUUUAGGCUUGUCCAGCUCCUUCCAUCUUAGCAAGCACUUCCAUUUCUACCAUCUUAGCAGCAACUGUCAAAUUGAGAUACGGAAAUCCCAUUAGCGCAUGAGUUAAUUUUGCAGUGGAAAUAGAGUACAAGAUGUCUUCAUGAUGUAAGUAAUAUGCCUGAAGUUGUGAGAUGGGAAGUGAAGUCAACAAAUUACAUUAAUGGAAAUGCAUGGAAGGCCACACAUACGUAUUAGUCCAUGAUAUGCUACAAAGCUUGUAUGUACAUAUAGCAAAUUAAAUGCAUUAAUUGAAUAGAGUGUGUUUAGUGAAUUUACCAGAAUCGUCCAGAAAACAUGGGAAACAGCAAGUGUUCUUGCAGACUGCGUCGGAGGCACCCGCACGAAUACAAAGCUGACAACAUAGUUUUGCCUGGGCGGAUGCGCAGCAGCCGCACUCCGCCGCGGUGGGGUUAACAUUGAGGCUCAAGAUGACCAGGCACAUGAUCACCAUCAAAGUGGUAGUCCUCUUUCCCUCCAUUGCCUCCUCUUAGCUUGCUGCUACCUUCCUUGGUUACCUAGCUAAGUUUAUUGGUUUUGUGUUGAGAGGUGUGAUUCUUGAAUGGACGUUGCCGGCGGCAAUUUAUAGGCAGCUGAGCUAUGUGAUGAUAUGGACUAGGUGCAAAUGGGUGGUUAAUGGCAAGGAAAGGGGCGUCAGACAAAGCCCAAUGGCAACUGCUGACAUGCGAUUAAAUUCAGAUCCACAUCCGGCCAUUCAAUAAUACGGUUGGAGUUGUGGCACAGAUAUAUUAUUGCAUGAUCAUCAAGAUAAGAUCGUACAGUGACUGAGUGAGACAAUAAAUAGCCAAGUAAACUAUUUUAUCCUGCUGCAAGCAGCGCUGCAUUCAUAAGUUUAUUUCACCUUUGAUCACAAUACUCUUCACACACGUACGUCUCAGGGAGAUCUUACUUCCGCUGGACUGCUCACUUCCGCUGUCAUCAGUACUGCCAAAGACACAAGCUCACAUCUGCUAUUGCGGAGCAGGCCAAUUUGCUGCGGAACUUCGGUGACGACCUGAAGGACAUGAAUUCGGUGCUGGAGUCCAUCUCAGUAGCACUCCAGGACGCUGACACUGGUAGAAAAACGACCUUCCAUCGUCAACAAAAAUCCCGGUAGCUUUUUUACUCAGUACUAAAGAGGUUUUAAUCUCGUGCAAACACCUUUAGUCCGGAUUGCUGUUACCUGUUACCACGCAACCCGGACUAAAGCGUACCCCACGAGUUACUAUAUAAGGAUUGCAUCCUUUACUUAGUCAGAUAUAAUGUGUAGGUGAGAUGAUAAGGAAGUUAUGCGUGAGGCUUAAGGUUGUGGGUUCGAAUCCAAGGAGAAGUGGGUGCAGCUGUGGCUUAAGCGGCUGAGGCACGCCGCCAUAGACAUCUCAAAUUUGCUCGAAGACUACCAAGACACUAGUGAACCCUUAACAGUAAAGGUGAGUACUUAUGAAUGUCAGCAUCCAUGUUGUCCAUGCUUCCAAUGUAAUAACAAGAUGGACUACUCUUCCUAGCGGACUCUUCACAACCACUCGUAAAGCUAUAUGUUUCUCAAUGCAAUUUCGUAGAAGCCAAUCGAUCCAACCAAGUGACUAAAUCAUUCAUCCUUUCCAAUGAUGUGCAUCAGGUUUUCUACAUGAAGGGCAUGUCUAGCAAACCCAAGAUUUCAGAAGAAAAAGAAAAAUCAUUGGAACCAAAGAGCCACAUAGUUCUUCCAGGAAAAAAAUCAUGGGAGUCGAGAACAAAUCAAACCAAUCAGAGGAUUAUGGUCAGCUUAAUGGCAUGCCUCCAUUCGAUGUCGAAGUUCACCCAAGCAUCAUGUUAGCCAAACAUCAAAUGUUCGUGCGUUGUUACGGUAAAGAUCAAUUGUGUUUUUUAAACUCAUGGAAUUUUUUUUCUAAGUUUUUAUUACACUUAUUGGAUGUCUACACAUUUGCUAGAAAACCAAAAUAAUUUGGACUUAAUUAUUUCUUUCAACUGAAGUACUCACUAAAUUUCUACCUUUUUAUUUAAGCAAGAGAGUUGCUAAAAAAAAUGGAUACAUAACCAUGUUGUAUCGUACAAAGCAACCACAUUUCACAUAUAGUCCGGCUUACCAAACACCAUUUUUUACUGAACAUAGCGUACAUGAGUUAAGAGACAUGGAUUUAUUUCUAUUGCAAGUAGCAUAGCGUACAACCUGCCUGCACCGAUGCAGCUCAAUAUGCGAUAAUUUUUAUCUUCCCAUGUAAUUUUUCUACUCUAGUACAUAUUGAACUCCACAUUAAUGUCAUGUUCUUUGGCGCCCCAGACGGUUCCUAAAGUUUGGAAACAAAAUAGAUAGCCAGAAAUUUUUUUUAAAAUAUUUAUAUGGAUAUUUGUAUGUUCUUUGCAAACUAACAAUAUUGUUUACCAAUAUCAAAAGGAAUAUGGCUAGGAGCCAUUGCCGCAUAUGGCAGGUGAUGGUAGAUGGCGUAUGGGAUUUCGUUAAUUUAAUGGUAUAAUAAGCUGAAAUACAUUUUCUAUUUGCAAAUGAAUCAUAGCUGAAAGUGGUGAGAUUGUUUUUUCGCCGGUUUAGCAUCCUGUGCACCGGUUCAACUGGAGGGAAGCGGUUCACCGAGACGGAUGGCAAUUUUACGGCAGAAUCAUUACUUGUUUUAUUAUUAGGUGAAGAUUUUAGCUUUUAGGUAUCUCACAUUAACAAUCUGUUUCUAGUGUAUAAUGUAGGAGACCCGUAAAGAGUCUACACACACAUAUAUAUGUUGACUAUGAAUGUAAGUUUGUUGGUUUUAUGUAUGUUCAUUUGGAGUUUAUAUAAAUUUUACAUUUUAUAGUUUUGUGUAUAUGACGAAGAUCCAUGACUUGCAUUAAUUUAACCUUUCUUCCAACAACUCUUAUGCAUGCUGUUUCUAGGGGAGCGCACUGGUUGCAAUUUUGGUCCCCGAUAUAGCAUGAGGACUUAAGGGAGACGUGCACGUCGUAACCUUAGAUAUUUUUGCAAGAAGCAAAUUAUACUUUGCUUUUGAUUUUCUCCAUGCCAUUUGCUGACUCUUAUCCCUUUUAUUUAUCAUUAUAAGAUGAAAAUAUUGUAAAAACUUGGUUACGUGCGGUCGCAGAAGCUAGAGACUAUUUCUUUUUUUAAAAAUACACAAGAGGGAGAAACUUGGUAACAGCUAGACAGUGAAGAUCGCAUUUCAUAAGAAAGAUGGUGCACGUUCUUGUUUGGCUGUUAACGAAAUGACUUCGUUUCACCACACCACCAGAGAGCCCCAUUGCACUUGCAGCAAAAGCGUGGAGCCGCUUUCAACCAGCGUGCAAUAAUGCAGUCCCGCGUGUCUUGGUCUUACAAGAUAUUUGGUUCUUUAGUCCGGACUAAAAUUCAUGUCGCAUAGAAUAUUCAGAUGUUAAAUAGGAGGACUAAACAUGAGCUAAUUAUAAAAAUAAUUACACAAAUGGAGGCUAAUUCCCGAGACAAAUCUAUUAAGUCUAAUUAAUCCAUCAUUAGCACAUGUUUACCGUAGCACCGUAUUGUCAAAUCAUGGACUAAUUAGGCUUAAUAAAUUCGUCUCGCAAGUUAGUCUCCAUCUAUACAAUUUGUUUUAUAAUUAGUCAAUGUUUAAUACUCUAUCUAAACAUUCAAUGUGACUGAAAUUUUAGGAGGUCCUAAAGAACCAAACACCCCUUAGUCUCCGCCUGAACUAUAGCAGGUGCUGGCAGCGGUAGCAGGGUCGUCCAUUAUAUCUAUGGAUGGAAAUGAUCUGAUUCGGAUGGAAUCGAAUUCGAAUAGCACUUUUUACCACAUACUAAUCUGAAUUGGAUGUUCUCGAAUGUGAAUGCAAAACGGAUAGUUCAAAUUUGAAUACUUUGCGGAUUUUUGCAUAAUAUUAAUCGAAGAGAAUUUGUUAAAUUUAGCCGGACAUAAAUUUUUCUAAAUUCAAAUACUUUGCAGAUUUUCGAAUGCAAAUUUUUUCAUACGAUCUCGGUUGAAUACAAACUUUAUAUCAAAGUUGUAUAUUUAGAUUAUAUAUAAAACUUUGUAGUUGACCUCCUUUUCAUUUAAAAUUUUUUAAUAGCUCAAAACAUUAUUCUAAGCUUUCUAAUUUCAAAAUCUUGAAUUUUAAAUUUUUCAAACGACCUCGGAUGCAAACUAGCUCUAUAUCAAAGUGGUAGUGCUUAAUGAGAUAUAAAAUUUUGUAGUUGACAAGUUUUUCAGUUGAAAAUAUUUAGUUAUCACAAACAUACAAGUUCUUCAUUUGAUGUCGAGGAUUGGAAGUGUUGAGUUUGAAGAAUAUAUUCUUUGAUUACAAACUUUUCCAUAUGAUCUUGGAUGAAUACGAACUUUAUUUCAAAGUUGCAAAUUUAGAUUAGACCAAAAACAGUAUAGUUUACAAUUUUUUCAUUCAAAAUUAUUUAGUAGCUCAAAAUGUUAUUCUAAACUCUCUAAUUUUGAAAUCUUGAAUUUUAAAAUUUUCAAAUGACCUCGGAUGCAAACAAGCUCUAUAUCGAAGUGGUAGUUCUUAAUGAGAUAUAAAAUUUUGUAGUUCCAUCUGAGAUCAUUUAACAGUCACAAAUAUACAAGUUUUUCAUAUGAUGCUAAGGAUCAGAAAGAUUAAGUUUGAAGGCUGUAUUUUUUUAAUACAAAUUUUUGCAUACGAUCUCGGAUGAAUACAAAUUUUAUAUCAAAAUUGUAGAGCUCGAUGAGAAUUUAAACUUUGUAGUUGAUAUAUUUUUCAUUCGAGAAUGUUUAGUGGUCCAAACAUGUAUUAUAAGUUCAGAGAAGAAACACACAAUCGGCCACGUCAUCAAUUGACAACUUCCAAAUUGAGCAUUCCUAUUGGUUCACACCUUUCCCUUUCAACUCGUCAAGCUUAUCUCCUCCCACUCCUCCAUCGUUCACUCCCCCUUCCCCUUCCUCUCUCCCUCCCUCCCUCCGCUCCAGCAGUGGCAGCCCGACCUGCCUCCUAGGACGGUGGUGUGCGGGGCUCGGGCAUCCCUGGCCUCUAGUGGCGUGGCAGGGCGGCCUCCAGCAGCGAUGGCGGAACUCGGCCUCCGGUGGCGCACAGGCAGCGCAGCCUACCUGGUCAAAGGCGGCGCAACAGGGCGACCUCCCCAGCCUCCGGUGGCGCGCAGGGCCUCCAUGACCUCCCCGGCCUCCCUUGCCAGAGGUGGUGCGCGGGGCUGCGCCGACCUCCCCAACCAGAGGUGGCAAGGCCCCAGCUUACGGCGGCGCGUGGCUCCCCAGCUAGGGUGUGGUGGGGCGGCGGCAAGUCAGGCGUGGCCACGUGGGGGUGGGGGGAGGGGGUUGGGCUGGGCGGAUUCAGAUAGUAUCCAUUUAACCAUCCGAAAUGUGGAUAUCCGUUUAACAAUCCGUUUAGCAAAACCGAAUUUGGAUACUUCCACUUAAGUAUCCAACUAGGAUUCGAAUGCGGAUGGUCCUACCAUAUUGUUAUUUCAGCGGAUACGAAUAUGGGAUAAUUCGAAUAACGACUUACCCAUCCCUGAUUAUAUCCGUGUAAAUAAAUAAUUGCGGCAGCAGGUUCCCGUCGCCACGCCCCCGUCAAACCAAACAAUUGCUUGCGCGACACCGUGUUACUAGAUCUUGUACAGUACUCCCUCCGUUGCAGUACUCCCUAAUGAAAGUUGAGAAUCGAUCGACAACCACGGCUAGUUGCUAUGCACUCGAUCAGAUGGUCCAGGCGCCCGCUGGUAAUCAGGUCGUGGUUCACGCGCAUCAGGCCAGCUAUGACGUUGCCAGCAGUGCUCAGUACACAAAUCUAGCUAUCAGUCGGAUCCAAUUGGGCAGGCAUUUGCACUGUGGUUGUGUUUGAACCUGGAGAUGUCGUUGUCAUUAUCAGGCACCAUACAUCCUCUCUCAGAGGGUGUUUCACCCCCUAAACUUUAGCCCCUCUCACAUCGAAUGUUUUAGAUACUAAUUAGGAAUAUUAAACAUAGAAUAUUUACUAAACCCAUUACAUGGAUGGAGGGUAAACGACGAGACAAAUCUAUUAAAUCUAAUUAGUCCAUGAUUUGACAAUGUGCUGCUAUAGUAACUAUUUGCUAAUGAUGGAUUAAUUAGACUUAAUAGAUUUUUCUUGCCGUUUAGCCUCCGUCUGUGCAAUUAGUUUUAUAAUUAAUUCAUAUUUAGUCCUCCUAAUUAGUCUCCGAAUAUUUGAUGUGACACCGACUAAACUUUAGAUAGCACACCAGGGACCGACACCAUGCAUGCUGAUUUCAUAUCAUAAUUAAGGAAAGUGAUAUCAUAAUUAAGGAAAGUGGUAGCAUCCAAGAAAUCGAUCAUGUUUCUUCCCCCUUUGGCUUUCCUACUAGGAUUUGGAUAGCGGGCCUUCCUACUAGGAUUUGGAAUCCGCUAUCGCAUGACUAUCUUAAUUAUGUCCCAUAGUCCAAAACUCACAAAACAUCAAAAAUCCACCGAGAAUAAAUUAAGUAAAAAACAUGCGCACACAGAUAAUAAUAAUAAUCAUGUUUCAAUAAAAUUGCUAAGAUUAGAGAUAGUACAUAAACAUAUUAGAUUGUUCGUGACACAUAUCAUGGUGGAUAGUGUCUGUGUCCUUAUUACAAGCAGCGAUAGAUGCUUGUCACCACACACACGCACGCACAGAUGCACGACAUACAUAUAGUUGAGACCAACGGAUGGAUGUCCCAUAGGGUGAAUAAUUUAUUGGAGAUAAAUAUUAACAUAACUUGGCCAUAGCUUGAAGCAUAGCAACAUAU
rnacentral:lncRNA from 1 species